AGGGAAUCUUCCGCAAUGGACGAAAGUCUGACGGAGCAACGCCGCGUGAGUGAAGAAGGUUUUCGGAUCGUAAAACUCUGUUGUAAGGGAAGAACAAGUACGUUAGUAACUGAACGUACCUUGACGGUACCUUACCAGAAAGCCACGGCUAACUACGUGCCAGCAGCCGCGGUAAUACGUAGGUGGCAAGCGUUAUCCGGAAUUAUUGGGCGUAAAGCGCGCGUAGGCGGUCUCUUAAGUCUGAUGUGAAAGCCCCCGGCUCAACCGGGGAGGGUCAUUGGAAACUGGGAGACUUGAGUGCAGAAGAGGAGAGUGGAAUUCCAUGUGUAGCGGUGAAAUGCGCAGAGAUAUGGAGGAACACCAGUGGCGAAGGCGGCUCUCUGGUCUGUAACUGACGCUGAGGUGCGAAAGCGUGGGGAUCAAACAGGAUUAGAUACCCUGGUAGUCCACGCCGUAAACGAUGAGUGCUAAGUGUUGGGGGGUUUCCGCCCCUCAGUGCUGCAGCUAACGCAUUAAGCACUCCGCCUGGGGAGUACGGUCGCAAGACUGAAACUCAAAGAAAUUGACGGGGACCCGCACAAGCGGUGGAGCAUGUGGUUUAAUUCGAAGCAACGCGAAGAACCUUACCAAAUCUUGACAUCCUUUGACAACUCUAGAGAUAGAGCUUUCCCCUUCGGGGGACAAAGUGACAGGUGGUGCAUGGUUGUCGUCAGCUCGUGUCGUGAGAUGUUGGGUUAAGUCCCGCAACGAGCGCAACCCUUAUCUUUAGUUGCCAUCAUUAAGUUGGGCACUCUAGAGAGACUGCCGGUGACAA
rnacentral:rRNA from 1 species